UGGGGAAUAUUGCACAAUGGGCGCAAGCCUGAUGCAGCCAUGCCGCGUGUGUGAAGAAGGCUCUAGGGUUGUAAAGCACUUUCAGCAGUGAGGAAAGGUUAGUAGUUAAUACCUGCUAGCUGUGACGUUAACUGCAGAAGAAGGACCGGCUAACUCCGUGCCAGCAGCCGCGGUAAUACGGAGGGUCCGAGCGUUAAUCGGAAUUACUGGGCGUAAAGCGCACGUAGGUGGUUUGUUAAGCUGGAUGUGAAAAGCCCUGGGCUCAACCUGGGAACUGCAUCCAGAACUGGCAGACUAGAGUACGGUAGAGGUGAGUGGAAUUUCCUGUGUAGCGGUGAAAUGCGUAGAGA
rnacentral:rRNA from 1 species